UAUUUAAGCCCUGAUGUGGAUGUUGCUGU
rnacentral:piRNA from 1 species